CCUGGGUUUCGCCCAGGCCCCGGGGCGAUGGGGCCGAGGAGCGGAGAGGUGCCUAGGCCGCGCUCUGGGUCACUCGUUCGCCCAUUCAUUCAUUCCUUGAGCUGACUCAGGAAUUGAGAUGGGUUGUCUGCGGAUCUUAGAAUGAGUCUGGAGAUAGCGAAGAGAUUGCCAAGCAGAACUGCCAUAAACCUUGACUAGGAAGAAGCAGCUUUCCUUGUGGAAUCGGGCCUUUCUUCUGACCACUUCAGGGAUUAAGAGAACAAGCAGACGGUUGUUAUCAGAGGAAUGGGAGGCAGCACCGAGUGAAAUAUUAAAUGCAGA